UUACAUGUUGAUAAAAGUACCCAUAUAAUAAAAUCAUGCAUAAAGUACCCUCAUACUGCUACUACCACAAGCAUAUUAUCAGAUAACUCAAAAAAUCAAGCAUACGGAAAGACAUAAAGGAUAGUUCACCGAGUUUGGCGACAUGGAGUCCACCUGGAAAACGCUCCGAGGGUGGUAGCAAAGACACGCAUGACCACUAUCUCUCCCUUACAGUACCAAAAACUCAACAAAAAAAAAAAAUUCAAAAUUCAGCUCCUAAAGUCCAUACUAAUCAAAACAUAUAUACUAAAAAUCCUUGAGAAAUCCAAAUCAUCCAAAAUACACAUCAACAACCUACCUGAAGCACCAGUUAUAAAAC
rnacentral:lncRNA from 1 species